UGUACCUUCCAUGUGUAUCCAGAAUUGAACUUUAUAUGACCUUCACUGCCACCACCAAGGUCCAAACAACCAUCACCUCCUGCCUGGAUAGACUUUUUCAACAAGCUACAGAUUCUUCUCCAACACUCUGAAAUGCCUCUUCAGGGUCCCAGUCAGUGGUGGACAUGAACCAGAGAAGAGCAGUGGAACAGAAUGGAGAAAGAAAUGUGGAAAGCAUUGAG
rnacentral:lncRNA from 1 species